GACGAACGCUGGCGGCGUGCCUAACACAUGCAAGUCGAACGGAACUGUUUUGAAAGAUUUCUUCGGAAUGUAGUUGCUUUCGUUUAGUGGCGGACGGGUGAGUAACCCGUGAGUAACCUGCCUUCAAGAGGGGAAUAACAUUCUGAAAAGAAUGCUAAUACCGCCUGAUAUAUCGGUACCACAUGGUUUUGUUAUCAAAGAUUUUAUCGCUUGAAGAUGGACUCGCGUCGGAUUAGUUAGUUGGUGAGGUAACGGCUCACCAAGACCGCGAUCGGUAGCCGGACUGAGAAGUUGAACGGCCACAUUGGGACUGAGACACGGCCCGGACUCCUACGGGAGGCAGCAGUGGGGGAUAUUGCGCAAUGGGGGCAACUGUGAAGCAGCAACGCCGCGUGAAGGAUGAAGGUUUUCGGAUUGUAAACUUGUUUUAUUAAGGACGAAAAAUGACGGUACUUAAUGAAUAAGCUCCGGCUAACUACGUG
rnacentral:rRNA from 1 species